AACUAGCUAACUGAAAUCAUAUGACUCAUUAAUAUGGUGAUUAUGAUAACAUAAGGGAAAAAAAUGAUGUUACCUUAUUAUUAGUGUUGUCCAAAACUGGUGCCAGAAGACUCGGUAAGACCAGAGACGCAAACGUUAGUCAUCUUAAUCAGGCGUAAAGGGUGUGUAGGCUGCUUUGAAAGUUUAAUUUUUUUAAUAGCUCUUUAACCGUAAUACUAAUUAUUUAUAUUUUUUUAAUGUAAAGAUAGUAUAUAAAAUUUAUUAUGUAAGUAUAAAUGAUAUUAAAAAAUAAAUAUCCGUGUUUCAGAAAAAAAAUAAAUGAAUUAAAGCUAGGAUCAAAUUGAGGAUAAGCCAAAUAAUACUUAGAGUAGGGGUUAAAUCCGCAGAUACUAAGGGGAAUACUAAAGGUGAAGACUUUUUAUCUACUAAUGAUUGACGCUGAGAAACGAASGUGAGAAUAGGAAAUAGGAUUAGAUACCCAGAUACCUCUCACUGUCAACGAUGAAUGGUGGUUAGUCAGUUUUAUUAAAGACUGGUAACGAUGUUAACACSAUAACCAUUCCGCCUUGCGAGUACGGUUGCAAAA
rnacentral:rRNA from 1 species